ACCCCGCCCCGCCCCGCCAAACCCGGCCGCGCAGGCGGCUUCUCCGACCAGGACCUGGCGGACGGGGUGCCGGGGCGAGCAGGUGGCGAUGGGACCGGAAGUGGAGGAGGAGGAG